UCCAUAUGGGCUAGAGUUUAUCUUACUUGGAUAACUGUGGUAAUUCCAGAGCUAAUACAUGCAACUGAUAUCCCGAGGAUUUGUUGGUGGCUUACGCUGCUCGCAUUGUUCCGACGGAUGCUUUUAUUAGACCAAACCGCUGAGUGCGUGUCGUUAACCCGGCACGUAUGACUCGUUUAAUGGUGACUCUGGAUAACCUUAUUGACAAGCGCACGUACCCCUUGCUGGGACGGCGCUGCCGCUUUCGAGUGUCUGACUUAUCAGCUAUCAACCGUUCGUUAUGUGCGACCGAUGGCUUUGACGGGUAACGGGGAAUCAGAGUUCGAUUCCGGAGAGGCAGCCUGAGAAACGGCUACCACGUCCAAGGACGGCAGCAGGCACGCAAAUUACCCAAUCCCAGCUCAUGGGGGAGGUAGUGACGAAAUCUAACGAUGCGGGCGCCCUUUCUGGGGCCCCGCAAUCGGAAUGGGCACUUUCUAAACAACCUGUUGAGAACCUACUGAAGGGCAAGUCUGGUGCCAGCAGCCGCGGUAAUUCCAGCUUCAGUAGCAUCUAUUAAAGUUGCUGCGGUUAAAAGGCUCGCAGUUGAAUGUCAGUAUCGAGCGCUGGUCAGGUGGACGCUGGGGCGUGAGAACUCAAGGCGCCUCUCGUGUGCCUUUUCUGAUUCCCGGCGGCGUGUCUGUGUCUCUGUUUCUCUCUCUCUCGUUGUGGCGCAGCAGCAGGAUCACUCCGUGGUUCUCUCUGUGUUCUGCGAGUAGUAGUAGUAGCGCAGGGCGCGCGCGUCUUGUCGGCGUGGAAUAUAUGGUGCGCGAGUUGGCGUCUCUCACCAGCCCCCGUCCGUAACAAGCCUCCUCGCUUGUUUACAUAAAUGGAUCUGUUAAACGGAGUGUGCGUUGUUGUGGCUCUUCGUCGCUACUUGUUAGCGCGGGUUUGUUCGUAUCUUCGGGCAUUCUCGUGCGCUUGUCUGCGGUGUUGCGGUUGCUCUCGCACGUUGAGCUCCAUCGGUUCUGGUGUCACCUUGAGUAAAUCAGAGUGCUCAAAGCAGUCGUAGGGGCCUUGUGCCCUGUGAACAGUCUUGACGGAUUGACUUGGUUUUGCAUGGCAUGUCGGAAGACGACGUCUAGCGCUGGCUCAGAGAUAUUAUCGGUGGUGAAAGCCAGCCUAGACGUAAUGAUUAACAGGGACUGUCGAGGGCAUUGGUAUUGCGAGGCGAGAGGUGAAAUUCUAUGACCCCCGCAAGACCUCCCGAAGCGAAAGCGUCUGCCAAGGAUGUUUUCAUUAAUCAUGAACGAAAGUUAGAGGAUCGAAGGCGAUCAGAUACCGCCCUAGUUCUAACCCUAAACGAUGCCAACCAUCAAUCCGCGCGUAGCACCCUUCUUAACGGGCUCGGCGGGCAGCUCCUCAUUCUCGGGAAACCAGAGUCUCUGGGUUCCGGGGGGAGUCUGGUUGCAAAGCUGAAACUUAAAGGAAUUGACGGAAAGGCACCACCAGGCGUGGAGCCUGCGGCUUAAUUUGACUCAACACGGGCCAUCUCACCAGGCCAGCACUCUUGUACGAUUGACAGAUUGAGAGCUCUUUCUCGAUUUAGUGGAUGGUGGUGCAUGGCCGUUCUUAGUUGGUGGAGUGAUCUGUCUGGUUAAUUCCGAUAACGAACGAGACUCUCCCCUGCUAACUAGUCGGUUGGAUCUUGAUAUUUGUAUCGGUUGAGUCGUGUACCGAGAUCACCCGCUGUGUUGCGCGUGCGAUUUUCUCGUGAUGGCUGUAGUCCGUGCUUCUCAAUAUACCUUGUGCGUCGGCCGUGUGUGAUGGCGAUGGCGUACCAUACACGUGGUGUGUCGUUGUUGUUGCGCGCGCCGGUGUUGCUCGGGUGAGAGUUGUGCGUGUGCUGCACUGUUGCGGGGGCCACGCGUGAUCUUCGGGCCUCGGACCACACACUCCAAGUCCGCCGCUCAUGCUUAAAACUCUUCUUAGAGGGAUUCACGGUUCUGAAGCCGUAAGAGACUGAGAGCAAUAACAGGUCUGUGAUGCCCUUAGAUGUUCUGGGCCGCACGCGCGCUACAAUGCCGGGCACAGCAGGUGUUCUUCCUACUCCGACAGGAGCGGGUAACCCUGUGAAAGCCCUUUGUCAUGGAUUACUUGUUGGUGUAGUUAACGCUACCCAACGUCUGGCGUGAUUGGGCCUGGGUCUUGCAAUUCUUUCCCACAAACGAGGAAUGCCUUGUAGCGGCGGGUCACUGAGCCCGCCGUGACUCAGUCCCUGCCCUUUGUACACACCGCCCGUCGCUACUACCGAUUGGGUG
rnacentral:rRNA from 1 species